GAAUAUGAAGCGAUAUAUUGCAAUUAGUUUCGACCUAAUCCUAGGUAAAUUACCCCUAUUCU
rnacentral:tRNA from 1 species